rnacentral:rRNA from 1 species
GAUGAACGCUGGCGGCGUGCCUAACACAUGCAAGUCGAGCGAAGCGGGGACGGGUGAGUAACACGUGGAUAACCUCCUAUAAGACUGGGGUAACGUAGGGGAACCGGAGCUAAAUACGACACUUAGACAUAGAACCGGGCUGCAUUGGCUAGUUGGUAAGGUAACGGCUUACAAAGGCAACAAUGCAUAGCCGACCUGAGAGGGUGAUCGGCCACACGGGAACUGAGACACGGUCCAGACUCCUACGGGAGGCAGCAGUAGGGAAUCUUCCGCAAUGGGCGAAAGCCUGACGGAGCAAUGCCGCGUGUGUGAUGAAGGUCUUCGGAUCGUAAAACUCUGUUAUUAGGGAGGCGGUACCUAAAGAGAAAGCCACGGCUAACUACGUGCCAGCAGCCGCGGUAAUAC